rnacentral:tRNA from 2 species
GAUAGUGGCUCAGUGGUAGAGUGCUUGCCUAGCAUGCAUGAGGCCCUGGGUUCAAUCCUCAGCAUCA